GACAGCAUGAAAUAGUGGUUUGAAUGUUGGACUGCAACUCUGGAGACCAGGGUUCGAUUCCCCGCUCAGCCA